GGUAGGAGAGGAAAUCACAGCGAUGCACUCCAGCUGGCUUUGGAGGCAGUGACUGUCAAUGUUGUAGAUGGCUAUGUCAGCCCUACAGCACGGGGCUGCAGGUGGGCUAUGAAUGGAAAAGCAGGGACCACAGCUCAGCCGCAGCUGCAAAGAAAUACAUUUUGCCAACAACCAGUGACCUGGCAAGAUUCCUCACAAGCCUCGGAUGGUGAUGACACCUCUGCCUCUGCUGACACCUUGUAUCAGCUCAGAGGGCUCUGGAGACGAGAAUCCAGCCACACCGUGCCUAGACUUCUGACCAAAUCUGGAGUGACUCGUCACACAGACACCGAAUGUUAAAACAGUUUCUGAAGGGGAUAAGGUUGUUCCGAGGUGGAGCCUGCCACCUGCUGGCUGGAACGGUGAAAUGUUCAGGUCCCGCCCUCCAGUUAUGUAACUGAAGACGUAGACCUGCGUCUGGAUCCAAGAAUAUCUGCAUAAAUUCCCCCCUCCUUCCCCAACCCCCUUACCAUGUGGCAUAACUGAAGUGGGAGUCCGUCAGACUGACCUUGGUAAAGUGAAAAACGAGGGUGGGCAGAGGUCUGAGAGGAAGGCAGAGAUGCGGGGUUGGCUGUGUUUGCACACACCUCCCUACAUCAUCUCGUCUGGAGCUGGCUCACUAGGUAUAGAGUAGGCCAGCCCCUAACUCACAGAGAUCUGCUUGCUUCUGCCUCUGCAGUACUGUAAGAACUCUUUAAAAUUUAGCAGGAAAGCAGGACCAUCUCUGUGGAUACGCUAACCGCUGUACGGGAAGCCCUGCUUGCAUGGGAACGUCCUGCGUGCGGUGGACCGUUUCCCAAACAGAAACUGGAAAGAGGUCUCCAGAUUCCACAGCAAGACCUGUGCUUCCCAGAAGCAUCAGCGUUCAAGAUCAACCCCUGCUAGAAAGGCUAGCAGCAUCCAGAUGGACCAUUUUAAAGCAUGAAUGAAAUCACGUUAUGUCAAGUUCUACCAAGACUCCUCACAUCACUCACAAGUCCUGACAACAGCAGACCAGAGCCUAGCUCACGUCCUGGCCUCUUCUGCAGUUCUUCCACGACUCGUGCUACUCAGCCUCGCCGGCUCCCUGGCUGCUCUGUGAUCCGGCAGGGCGCUCCUACCCCAGGUCCUUCGGACCCAGCACUCCAGCUCCUUCCCCAGAAACCAUCCAUCUUUGCUCCUCCCCUCCCAAGCCAGGCCCUGUGACAUCUGCACUCAGCCUCUAAUCUCCUCAACCCUAUUCUCCUGAUCUGGCAUCUUCCUUCCUUGCUCAUGACCGGCAGAGGGGCUCCAUCCACUCAGGUACCCAGGCGCCUUCCAUCAAGGGCUCGCUCUUGCCUCACCUAGGCCCUUUGGAGACAUUUCCCUUAGGCCAGUGGGCGUCAGCAGGAGAGGAUAAAGACAAUGACGAUGAGGUGGCAGACAUGCUUAAACUGCCUGGCCUGAGAGGUAAUAAUAUUCACUGGAGAAGACCGGCCACGUGGGCCCGAUUAGUGAGUUACAUAAUGAGCUGCAUGCCUGGGUAGAAAGGAAAAUGGUUUAGUGAGCGCCGUGGUCACCGAGUGUCUCAACACCGUCAACCCCUCCCAUGGCAGACACAGGAAGAAGGUCUGCCCUGCAUUUAGUGCAUCUCAGGCGGUGUGUGUGGUGCAGCCUUCCUCAGGGCCGUAUGCAACUCCUAGUAAUGCUUCCACUGACCUGAAAGGGGGUUACCUGCACCCUCCCCAACUCCCAAGAUACACUGGGGGACAGAAGCAGGCCUGUGUGCUUGGUCUUUUUCUUUCUUCCCAGCUUUGGUUUCUCUGUUUUGACAAGGUGUCGUGUAGACCAGACUGGCCUCAAACUCACUAUUCUACCUCCCCGGUGCUGGGAUUAGAACUUUGCACCACCACACUUGGCUGUAAGUCUCGUCUUACCCAAUAUCCCCCGUGGCCAAGUGUGCUGCGGCAUGCCCUCUUUUCAGGAUACACAACCUUCGUAACGUACUCAUCCCUGCCCCUCACUGGCAUUCGAGCAAGUUCUGGGUUUCCUGAAGUGAUUGUCUAGCUCCAACAAUAGAAGGUCUUGUCAGUCCAGGCUCAUGGAUUCUUUGCCAACACGACUCCCCAGGAACACAGUGGUCCUUUGAUCUACUUCUUCCCCGUCGGUGCUGUGUGCCAGAAACAACAGUUCUUUCCCGGGCUUCACUCUCAAGCCUGACUCAUUUUUCACAUGUCUUUCACUCUCGGCUAACAGGAGCCACCCAGAAGCCACACGAAACAAGGUCCUGACUUUGUACGACGGAAUCACUUAGGGAACCUGGAGAACUGUCUUCAUGCAGAUAUCAUGGACCUCAACCCUACCAACAGAAGCUCUACAGAUGGCCCUUAGUCUCGUCCUUCCACCUGAUUUAACUCUCCUCUGAAGUGAGGAAGCGGAGGGCGGAGAAGACACUGUCAUCAACUGUCCCGGGGAAAGACACGCAUCUGUUCACAGUCCACCCAUAUAAAGCUGGAGAAGGAGGUGUGGGACGCAGUCUGGAUGCCCAGCAGGAAUAGAAAAAUGGAGACAUGAGCAAGCCGAGCCAUUGCUUUCAUAUUCUAAAACGUUUUCAAGAGGGCAGCGACCUUUGACUGGUUUGUUCACAGCUGUCCCUGUGCUGACUGCAUACGUGAGCACUCGAAAAUACCCUUUGAAUGAACAAAUGAUGCGUGGACAGGAGGAGUAUCGAGUAUAGUACCAUACAGGACGGUUUUGGGGAAUAAAAGCAAACUAAACACACUGAGGUCUGAAAUACUGAAUUGCUACUCCUUUACUUAGAUGAAACAUUAAAUACGGGCUUUGGGACAAUAAAAAUAAUCUUACAAAUACCGAAACAUACAUCUAUCAAAUCUACAGUGUCAGUUCUUCAACAAACCCGUCAAACAAACUAAAAUCUGCUGCUGCAAACAUAGACACAUUCGUUUCAAAUACUGGUACAGACACAGUGGAAAACAUUCAAAGAACCCACCAUUAAACUGGUAACAGUGGCUGGGACAUGGCUCAGUAGGAGAGCACUUGCCUUGCAUGUAGGU